rnacentral:lncRNA from 1 species
AUUUGUUUUCUUUUUUUCUUGUUGAUACUUUGGUUUCUCCACAAUCUGUGUGCUUGGUGCUGGCUUAUAGAUUUUAUAUGUGGUGAUUCUGGUGAAUAUAUUUAGCUAAGAUGCUGAAUCAUUUAGGUGCAGGAACAGAUUAUCUAUAUGUUGUUAAAUUUUAGCAUCAUAAUUUGAUGAACCAUAUAAAAAUAGACGGUGGAUUGUCUAUGAGGAACUACUUAUCUUGCAUAUUUGAUGCUGCUGGUCAAUGUAAUGAGAUUAGAAUUUACAACGGAACUCAGAAAUGCAUUUGUAACUGGAUAAUAAAUUGAGAAGGGAUCAAAAUAAAGUGCAUAAAUAUGCAAGGCAAAAAGUUCAGGGGAGACUAUUUGAAGCCUUUUCUGCUCCAUCUAGUCUUCUUGUGUAAGAAUCGGCUUUUUCCUGUACUACGCUUCAAAUGCAUUGUCAUUGCAGAGUUCUGUUCCUAUUUUCUUGAAAAAUUGGUGUUCGAAGGCCUUUAGGAGAUAGUUGGCUUAACAGUCCUCUUGAUGUUUCUCGACCUCUCAGAUGGAGCCCCUUUCGCUUCCCUGGUCGUGCUAUUAAGUUUACUACUCGGUGUAGCGAUGUUCUUGUAUGUCAUAUUUACUGUGAAGUAGAAAGUCAAGCUAGUGAGACUUAUGGCUCUUAGAUAUACCUUUGUUGGGAUUUUCUUUCUUUUCAUAGUUAUGUUACUAAACCCAUGUAAUCCGACUUAAUGGUUUAGAUUUAACAGCAUACCUCUAAAAUCUGAUUUAAAGGACGAUUGCACCCCGAUUUUCGUCCAUUCAAUGUCUCCACUAAAAAAAUGCACCGUGAAAUUCCUUUUGCAUCUGCCUAGUUGGUUUAUCCAUAAACAAGUGGUACUAGGUUAGGGCUGAGGCUCAUGGAUUUCUCUUGUAAAGCACUUUUGACCGAGGACUCAAAUGACUGAACCAUCAUGUAUGUCUUUUGGGCAACAUUAAUAUCGGAAAUAUUUUUGGUAAUUUCCUACAUCGAGCAUCCCCUUUGUUUCCCGCCUUUUCUCUGAGGCUAUCGAAUUACAUUUGGUUCUUUAGGUCACGCAUCUUUCAUUACAAUGUUUGAACCUUGAUUGAUCUUUUCUUAGCAAUCACGCGUGGAUAAUUAAUUCUUUCAUACCAGCAUUCGACACUCCUAUGCAUUUCAGUGGAAGGUGGUUGUUUUAUACUUUCCCUUUAGUGAGAUCAAAUUAUUUAGGCUGUUUGUUUCCACUUUCUCUUAGCAAAUAGUUACUUAUCAACUUUCCUGCCGAUAGGAAAAUUUUUUUGGUAGAUUUGAAAAUUUGACACAAACUUUGAUGAUCACAAGUAACUCUAUAGAUUGAUUUUAAUAUAUGUUUUUAAGGAUAGGUAGUGCUGUCUGAAAUACAUGUGAAAUCUCAAAUGCUAGAAAGCAAAAAGUGUUAAAGUAAAUGUUACUAUUCAGGCCAAGAUUGAGAAGAGAAGGGAAGAGAGAGCCCGUUCAAAGGCUUGGGAAGAGGAGUCAAAGGUAUGUUUGGUGCAGUCACCAGAGCAGCAACAUUUUUUUUUUUUUUUUCUUCUUUUUGAAUUGGUGAUGGGCGUGAAACUCUACAAGUUUUAGUGUUACAGAGAGAUGAUUUCUAUAUUUCUGCUUUCUGCAGGCAAUGCUAGCCAGAGCGUGUGGUCGAGCAGAUCUCGACAUAUUCUCUAUCACAAUGAAAAAGAUGCCGAAAGAAAGAAUGGUAUCUUGUAAUUUGGAUUUUUUUCUUUUCGUUGAUACUUUGGUUUCUGCACAAUUUGUGUGCUUCAUGUUGGCUUCUAGAUUUUAUGUGUGGUGAUUCUGGUGAAUUUAUUUUGCUAAGAUGCCGAAUCAUUUGGGUGCAGGAACAGAUUAUCUAUAUGUCGUUCAACUUUAGCAUCAUAAUUUGAUGGACCAUAAUAAAAAUAGAUGGUGGAUUGUCUAUGAGGAACUUCUUAUCUUGCAUAUUUGAUGCUGCUGGUUAAUGUAAUGAGAUUAGAAUUUACAACGUAACUCAAAAAUGCAUUUGCGGCUGGAUAAUAACUUGAGGAGGGACCAAAGUAAAGUGGAUAAAUAUGCAAGGCAAAAAGUUAAAGGAGACUCCUUUCUUGCUUCAUCUAGUCUUGUGUAAGAAUCGGUUUUUUCCUGUACUAUGCUUCAAAUGCAUUGUCAUUGCAGAGUUCUGUUUCUAUUUUCUUGAAAAAUUGGUGUCGAAGGCCUUUAGGAGAUAGUUGGCUUAACAGUCCUCUUGAUGUUUCUCGACCUCUCAGAUGGAGCCACUUUUGCUUCUCUGGUUAUGCUAUUAGAUUUACUACUUGAGUGCUCGGUGUAGUGAUGUUCUUGUAUGUCGUAUUUACUAUGAAUUAGAAACUUAAGCUAGUGAGACUUAUGGCUUUUAGUUAUACCUUUGUUGGGAUUUUUUUUCUUUUCAUAGUCAUGCUGCUAAACCCAUGUAAUCCAACUUAAUUAUUUAGAUUUAACAGCAUACCUCUAAAAUCUGAUUUGAAGGACAAUUGCAUCCUGGUUUUUGUCCGUUCAAUGUCUCCACUUAAAAAAUGCACCGUGAAACUCCUUUUGCAUCUGCCUAGUUGGUUUAUCCAUAAACAAGUGGUAGGUUAGGGCUGAGGCUCAUGGAUUUCUUACGUAUGUCUUUGAGGCAACAUUAAUAUCGGAAAGAUAUUGGGUCCUUUCCUACAUCGAACAUCCCCUUUGUUUCACGCCUUUUCUCUGAGGCUAUUGAAUUGCAUUUGGUUCUUUAGGUCAUGCAUCUUUCAUUACAAUGUUUGAACCUUGAUCAAUCUUUUCUUAGCAAUCAGCAUCGAUAAUUUAUUCUUUCAUAACGGCAUUCAACAUUCCUAUGCAUUUCAGUGGAAGGUGGUUGUUUUCUAGUUUUCUUCUUUAUACUUUCCCCUUAGUGAGAUCAAAUUAUUUAGGCUGUUUGUUUCCACUUUCUUUAAGCAAAAAGUUGUUUAUCAACUUUCCUGCCGAUAGGAAAGAAAUUUUGGUUAGAUUUGAAAAUUUGACACAAACUUUGAUGGUCGCAAGUGACUCUAU